AUUGAACGCUGGCGGCAUGCCUUACACAUGCAAGUCGAACGGUAACAGGUCUUCGGAUGCUGACGAGUGGCGAACGGGUGAGUAAUACAUCGGAACGUGCCCAGACGUGGGGGAUAACGAGGCGAAAGCUUUGCUAAUACCGCAUACGAUCUAAGGAUGAAAGCAGGGGACCGCAAGGCCUUGUGCGUUUGGAGCGGCCGAUGGCAGAUUAGGUAGUUGGUGGGAUAAAAGCUUACCAAGCCGACGAUCUGUAGCUGGUCUGAGAGGACGACCAGCCACACUGGGACUGAGACACGACCCAGACUCCUACGGGAGGCAGCAGUGGGGAAUUUUGGACAAUGGGCGAAAGCCUGAUCCAGCAAUGCCGCGUGCAGGAUGAAGGCCUUCGGGUUGUAAACUGCUUUUGUACGGAACGAAAAGGCUCUGGCUAAUACCUGGGGCACAUGACGGUACCGUAAGAAUAAGCACCGGCUAACUACGUG
rnacentral:rRNA from 1 species